UUCCUACGGGAGGCAGCAGUGAGGAAUAUUGGUCAAUGGUCGGGAGACUGAACCAGCCAAGCCGCGUGAGGGAUGAAGGUACAGAGUAUCGUAAACCUCUUUUGUCAGGGAACAAAGGCGGGGACGUGUCCCCGGAUGAGUGUACCUGAAGAAAAAGCAUCGGCUAACUCCGUGCCAGCAGCCGCGGUAAUACGGAGGAUGCGAGCGUUAUCCGGAUUUAUUGGGUUUAAAGGGGGCGUAGACGGGAAAUUAAGUUAGUUGUGAAAUCCCUCGGCUCAAGUGAGGAACUGCAACUAAAACUGAUU
rnacentral:rRNA from 1 species